GGGGAUUUAGCUCAGUGGUAGAGCGCUUGCCUAUGCCUAGGAAGCGCAAGGCCCUGGGUUCAGUCCCCA
rnacentral:tRNA from 1 species